rnacentral:lncRNA from 1 species
UUUUUUAUAAAUUGUCUUUUUUUUAUUAUGAUUAUGUAUUUUAGAAAUCUCUAUUCUUGUCUUAUUCAUGUGCCAUGUAUGUUAUUGUUUCAAAGACAUUCUAUAAUGAAACCAUUAACUAAAAUGUAUAUAAUUGUAAAUAAUAAAGUAUAGACGCACCAUCACUUCUACCCUGAUGACUGGUGCCCCCGAUGUAAAGGGGUAGUUUUCUAAAUAAAUAUAUAUAUAUAUAUUACACUAUAAGGUAUGGGG